CCUGGACACCCCUCCAGAAUUGAUGGCGAAUGAGACGCGACCGCCGAGCAGCGCGCUUCGUCUUCAAUUGGAUAGCGGUCCAAUUAAAAGGAGAUUUGUGUUGAGGGAACGGGCUGCGGCAAUUGGCCUAUCCGUCAUGACCACAGGGUAUUCUGUGCAUUAGCAGGAUAAGGUCAGGCUCUGCAUGCGAAGCAAUGGUGGUUGAGUAGGCACUUCACGCCAGGCUGCAGGGGUGGAUCCUGUACUGUUUUCCUACGGAAAGGAAGGUAUAGUUGCCGUGACGACUCACUGCGCUUAUCCAGCGCACAGCUGUCUCUCUCUCUCUCUUCCAUGCACCUUGAGCAGGUGACAGGUGUCAUCGCCGGGAGAAAGGAACAACACCGCUGCACACUGAACUUUCCAUAAGUUGACCCAAAGAUCAUUUCCAGACAACAACCUUUUGUGAUGCCAGGACUGCCUGUGGGCGAACCUGAUUGGUUGUGGGUUUGAAUGCAGAGCAGUUUUUUUUUUUUUUGCUCGGGACCUUCACUGCACAGCACACGUGCAGACUGCACGUUUCUGUAAACAGCAUCCUCGCUUGAGCAAACUGGGGUUGGGAAGUAGGCCACCCUAUUCAGUGAGGUAUGGGGGAUGGGGGAAGGGGGUCUGGUUGACAUUCAUAUCAGAGGCAGUGAUGAAAAAUCACUUAUGAAGCACAGCCAAGAAAUGCAUCUGUUGCAAAAUGUAGGGAAAAAAUCUGUGUGAUGCACAACUCCGUGAUUUGAAUGUGCUUCUCACACUUUAGUUUGAACACCAGGACCCGUCUGAAAUUCUGUGUUUAACAUGGGCUGCGGCCAACGGCUUUGGUGGAAUCCCUCUUUUGCUCGUUGUGCAUCCAGUCAGAUCAGAAACUCUGAUGUCAAAAGGAGUUACUGUAUAUUCUUAACAAAAGUCAGCAGAAAAUGUAUUUAAUCUACUGAAAAAAAAAUAUAUAUAAGGACAAUUAUUUCAUGUGCGUCAGUAGAGACUUUAAUUUGAUUUUGUCUCUCAUGUGCAGCAUAAACAAAUAAUGCUACACACUAUCAUAAUUUUGGUGAUUCAUAAAGUACUGAUGAUAAUAAAUGUUUCUUUGCAUGGUUCAUUAAGGAACACGUUUGCUCCAGACAUAUAGCGCUGAGGAGCAGUGAACUGGACCCCUCCAUUAAAUACUGAAGAUCUCUGAGCUGCAAGCCCUGCUAUUCAGCUGUAACAGCACAGUAAUGACUUCCUGUAUUAAUUUACCUCUUAAGAUUCAGAUUAAAGUCUUAAAUUUGAGCAGCA